rnacentral:rRNA from 1 species
UGGGGGAUAUUGCACAAUGGGCGAAAGCCUGAUGCAGCGACGCCGCGUGGGGGAUGAAGGCCUUCGGGUUGUAAACUUCUUUUGCUCUGAACAAGGCAUGCCAAUGGGUGUGUUGAGUGUAGGGGUUGAUUAGCGCCGGCUAACUACGUGCCAGCAGCCGCGGUAAUACGUAGGGCGCGAGCGUUGUCCGGAAUUAUUGGGCGUAAAGGGCUUGUAGGUGGCUGGUUGCGUCUGUCGUGAAAGCUCAUGGCUUAACUGUGGGUUUGCGGUGGGUACGGGCUGGCUUGAGUGCAGUAGGGGAGGCUGGAAUUCCUGGUGUAGCGGUGGAAUGCGCAGAUAUCGGGAAGAACACCAAUGGCGAAGGCAGGUCUCUGGGCUGUUACUGACGCUGAGAAGCGAAAGCGUGGGGAGCGAACAGG